rnacentral:snoRNA from 1 species
GGUUCAGUUCUCUCUCCUGAGCAUGAAACUGGCUCUAGGUGUUGUUUCUGCAACUGCCCAUUGCCCCUGAUGAUCGUUCUUCUCCUCUGGGGGAGUAAGAAGAGGAGGACAUAGUCUGA